UUUUUAAUCGUAGUCAUCUUUCAUUAAAAAGCCUUUUCUACUUAACAUUUUAAUCACACUGUACACUGUAUUCUGACACAAGGUAAAAAUUCGAAAGUAUUAGCAAUGUGCGAAAGCCUACCGGAAAUAGAUCCGAAAGACGUCACUUGCUGCUUGGGGGUGAUAAAUUUAAUUUUUGGAAUGGUGGCGACGCUCUUUUGGUUCUCAUUCAUAGUCCUUUACAUAUUUCGACUGGACCUCAAAGAACUCGAAGGUGGCAAAGUACCCUCUAUAAUCACCCUUCAAGGACUUGUGAUUCUGAUACUAUGCUUCCAAGUUUGUGGAAUCUUAUCCGGUGCUCUGUUACUCGUCGGAAUACAAAGGGAAAAUCCCCUCUUGCUAGUCCUUGGAAGAAUUUUCGGAUUUGUAUUCGCAAUAGCUAACUUUUUUGUUGGGUAUAUAAUUAUAUAUGGCCUCCUCUCCAUUUAUAUAAUAAGAUAUAAACGAAUUUUGGAUGGAACUGCACCUAUUUUGGCCUGUACGAAUAUUUAGUUUCUAGAGCGUCAAAAAAUUGGUAAAUUUAUUUUUACUGUUGACAGCUGGAAAAUUUUUAAAUUGUUUACAAAUAGUAAGAAAAAAUUUACCAAUGGUUUGAUGUGAGGAAUGAUUCGGAGGAAUAAAAUUCACUCAAUAGAAAAAUAUAAUGAAUAAAAUUGAAAAUAAUGCCUUAUUCUUUGGACACAAUGUACUCAUUAUGGUUCAAAUUAUUUUCUAUAUUUUUUACCUUUCCGAUCACAGUCAACUAAAAUACUUCAAAUAAUAAUACAGAUUCUAAAUUCUUACGAUGUGUGAAAGCUUACCGAAAAUAGAUCCAAGAGGAGUUACUUGGUGUGUGGCUGUUACUACUCUAGUUUAUGGAUUUAUUUCAACAAUAUUUUUUAUGCUUUUCUUUGUGGUUUUUUUGGGUAAAUUGGAGUGGAAUAAAAAUCAUGACGCAACCAAUAUCGUACACAUAUUUAUUUUUAUAUUAUAUCUUAUAAUUCAAAUAACUGGUAUUCUAUCCGGCGGUUUCUUGAUCUAUGGGUUGAUAACGAGACUCCCUCGGAUGCUUUUUAUUGGCAGAGUUUUGGGAUUUGUAUUUGCAUUUUCAAAUUUCUAUUCCCUUUACCUAAUUAUUUACUCAAUAUUAUCAAAUUAUACUCUAAGAUAUAUAAAGUUUCUUAAUUUUAAUGAGCACCAAAAGUGAUUUUAAAACAAAGAGAGUUAUAACUUUCAUCAGGAUCUUGUAAAAAGAUAUGAAUAAAAGGACUUCAUCACGUUACCAUCUCUAGCUCACAUGCCAAUUGGUGUAGUUGAGUGUGUGUGGGGGCCUUUUGCAAUUUUCCAGCUAAAUGGCAUACAUUAAUUAACGGUUUUGUGCGACAGACGACUCGGGUCCAGGUUCUGGUUCUGGUUCAGAUUCGGAUUCAGCUUCAGGUCCAGACCCCGGGCUUCACAUUCAUUUUGACCCUCACGCUCUUGGCUCACGAAAAAGAUUAAUGGUGCGUUAUUAAUGUGUAAUGACAAAUGUUAGUGCCCCCCCUCCCACUACCACUGCCCCUUCGGUAUGCCACGCCCUCUUGCCCAUCAUGGCAACCGCCGCUGUGUAUGUGAGAUCUCACUUUGGCGCUAAAUGGAUUUACGUAGCUCGGCCAUGGUGUCCAUCCAUUUGCCUGAAAAUGAUUGAAAUAAAUAUUUAAUUAAGGCGCCAGAGUGCAGCGGCAGUCGAAACAAAGAAAAACAGCAACUUUGCUCUAAAUUUUCAUAAAAAAUUCAAUGCCACGUUCCGACAACAGCCGACAACGAUAUGCAAUAAAGUGCGGGCGGCAAAAUGUGUCACCGUGUUAUAAAUAAAACCAAAGGAUGGGUAACAGGACGAAAAGAUGCCCUCAAAAUAAUUAAACUUAAAAAGUCAUUUAUCCUUUCCAGGAUCAUGUAAAUGCCAGUGUACUCCGCCAUCCAAAAGAAACCACAUCAACAUCAGCGUCAAAGUGACAGGACCAGAAGCUGGCAAACACACACGAAAAACUCUGACCAGAUCGUUUCAAGGGCCCGAUAGAUAUGGCCCAGAAAUCGUAGGUAUUGGAGUGGGUAUAGGGGCAGUCGGGCUUACCGGCUAAAUGUUGUUGUGGCAAACAAGUAAAUAAAUGACAAACUAAAGCCAAAUUAAGUAAAUAAAAUUGUUGCCGCUGUCAGGGGCAUAAAGUGACGCCUGACACGGACAUGGACACGAACACGAGCACAAACUUCCAGGCAGGACAUGGGACAUGGUAGCUGACAGGACACCGGUCCUGUAUCUCAGAGUCAGGACUACAGGACUUCAGUUGAAGCGCCCUCUGUUGUCAGAGUCAUGUGACAGUCCUGAAAAUGUCAACAAGUUGAAUGCAACAACAUGGCCAACUGAAAUGAGACGAGGCCCAAAGUGAGGUCAAAGAUGAGGUAAAGGCCAUAGGUGCGGGCCGACUUUAAUGCGGCAGUAUACCAAAAUUGAAAAAGGUUUGAUAACCCCGGAGGAUUUUUUAGCCCAGCCUAGACGAGCCAAAGAGAGCUGCUCGCGUCGAGGACGAGGUCCUUCCUCGGUCGCAUUGGGCAGACAAACGCUGACAUGUGUCAAAACGAAAAGUGUACAAUUUAUCAAAGGCAACAAUAACGAAAAUAGAAGCAAGACCCGCCAUUGAGCAGAUCCGGAGUGGAGACAAUGAAGCAACCAAAGAAUAAAGGAACUUUUCGACUUUUAAAUACCAUCUACUGGAAAACAAAUCUUUAUUCCUUGUUCACUGUAAAAAAAAGUACAAUAAGUACUAGAAUUCUUUUUUAAAAAUAAUGCCUACCAUAAGGUAUUAAAAGGUAACCACAAAAAAAUAUAAGACAGCCAUCAAAGCGUAAAGCUUUGGAGGACAAAUAGAAACAAAGAGAGUUGCAGAUGGACUCACAAAUCCGUGUCCAAGCCAAGACAAGGGCUUAGAAGUGGUAACGAGAGGAAAAAGUGGCCAAAGGGCAGGUUCAGAGGAAUGGGGAGACAGUGCCGUUGAGGACAAUGGAAUUGGUCAGGCAGAGAUAUCAGCCAAACGGAAGAGA